GAUCUGACAGUCCACAACCAACAUCAGAGUAAUCAAAGAGCCCUCCAUUAAACAAAAACCCAUCCUCUCCUCCAUCCUCACCCCAAACCCUAACCCCCAGAUUUGAUCCCCAUACCCACCGCCCUCUGCCUCCAAGACGCCGCAAACCACCUCCACAUCCUCACCAUCCUCCUCCGAUGACACCGGUUCCGGCGACAGCCCCAACUCACCAUUUGCAAACUCUUCAUCACCCUUGGCGUCCUCGACUAUGUCGCCCGAAACUCCUCGUCUACAAGGGCAUCUUCCGUGAAUUCGUAAGGCUUUCUUCUAGACCGGUUCCGGCUGGGAGAACCUAGAGUUUAACUUCCGCUGGACCCAUCGGAACCUUGCCAUUGUCGGCAUGUUCGGCAUCGCCAUUCCCAUCCUCGUCUACAAGGGCAUUGUACGUGAAUUCCAUAUGCAAGACAAGGACGCCGAAAGACCCUACAGGAAAUUCCUGUGAAAAUUCCAAUUAAGGAUCUCGAUAAUUAAUAAUGGAGAGGAUUGGCUUCCAAUGGUUUGUGGUAUCUCUGGAUGGAGUUAAGAAGGAUGUUAUGAAAGAUCUACCACCAAAGAAGGAACUGAUAUUAAGUGUUGAAUUAAGUCUACAAGGCCAUACUUACUCAUAAUUACUAGGUUUUAGCUGGUCGUGGAGGCGCACAAGUGGUCAUGAUCUCUCUUUUCAAUGUUGUUAUGGAUCUUCGUAAGCUUUGUUAUCACUCGUACCUGAAGUAGAGCCAGCAAAUGCCAAUGAAGGGUUAAGUGACAUCGAAGAAUCAGCUAAGCACUCUCCAAUUUUGAAGAGAGCUCGUGUUUCUCUUAAGAUGAAGUAUAGGGUUCAUGAUGAUGUAUAGGGUUAUGUUAGAUUGGAUCUUAUUGUUGUAAUAAUGCUAUGAUUGUAAUAACAUUUUGCAUAUUUUACAAAUAUUGUAAUUUACAUUUUGAUGAAAUUAAA